AGUGAACGCUGGCGGUAGGCCUAACACAUGCAAGUCGAACGGCAGCACAGUAAGAGCUUGCUCUUACGGGUUGCGAGUGGCGGACGGGUGAGGAAUACAUCGGAAUCUACUUUUUCGUGGGGGAUAACGUAGGGAAACUUACGCUAAUACAGCAUACGACCUACGGGUGAAAGCAGGGGAUCUUCGGACCUUGCUCGAUUGAAUGAGCCGAUGUCGGAUUAGCUAGUUGGCGGGGUAAAGGCCCACCAAGGCGACGAUCCGUAGCUGGUCUGAGAGGAUGAUCAGCCACACUGGAACUGAGAAACGGUCCAGACUCCUACGGGAGGCAGCAGUGGGGAAUAUUGGACAAAGGGCGCAAGCCUGAUCCAGACAUACCGCGUGGGUGAAGAAGGCCUUCGGGUUGUAAAGCCCUUUUGUUGGGAAAGAAAAGCAGCAGGUUAAAACCCCGAUGUUCUGACGGUACCAAAAGAAUAAGCACCGGCUAACUUCGUG
rnacentral:rRNA from 1 species